rnacentral:rRNA from 1 species
GAUGAACGCUAGCGGCAGGCUUAAUACAUGCAAGUCGAGGGGCAGCAGGACUGUAGCAAUCCAGUUGCUGGCGACCGGCAAACGGGUGCGGAACACGUACGCAACCUACCCAAAACUGGGGGAUAGCCCGGGGAAACCCGGAUUAAUACCUCGUAACCUUUUUAAGUGGCAUCACUUGAUAAGUAUAGCUCCGGCGGUUUUGGAUGGGCGUGCGCCUGAUUAGGUAGUUGGUGCGGGUAACGGCCCACCAAGCCUGCGAUCAGUAACUGGUGUGAGAGAACGACCAGUCACACGGGCACUGAGACACGGGCCCGACUCCUACGGGAGGCAGCAGUAAGGAAUAUUGGUCAAUGGACGCAAGUCUGAACCAGCCAUGCCGCGUGAAGGAUGAAGGUCCUCUGGAUUGUAAACUUCUUUUAUGGGGGACGAAACCCGGAUAUUCUUAUCCGAUUGACGGUACCUCAGGAAUAAGCACCGGCUAACUCCGUG